GAUGAACGCUAGCUACAGGCUUAACACAUGCAAGUCGAGGGGAAACGACAUCGAAAGCUUGCUUUUGAUGGGCGUCGACCGGCGCACGGGUGAGUAACGCGUAUCCAACCUGCCGAUCACUUGGGAAUAACCUUGCGAAAGUAAGACUAAUACCCAAUGAUAUCCCACGAAGGCAUCGGAAUGGGAUUAAAGAUUUAUCGGUGAUGGAUGGGGAUGCGUCUGAUUAGCUUGUUGGCGGGGUAACGGCCCACCAAGGCAACGAUCAGUAGGGGUUCUGAGAGGAAGGUCCCCCACAUUGGAACUGAGACACGGUCCAAACUCCUACGGGAGGCAGCAGUGAGGAAGAUUGGUCAAUGGGCGAGAGCCUGAACCAGCCAAGUAGCGUGCAGGAAGACGGCCCUAUGGGUUGUAAACUGCUUUUAUAAGGGAAUAAAGUGGGUCACGUGUGACUUUUUGCAUGUACCUUAUGAAUAAGGACCGGCUAAUUCCGUG
rnacentral:rRNA from 1 species